rnacentral:rRNA from 1 species
AACGUAGGAGGCGAGCGUUAUCCGGAUUUAUUGGGCGUAAAGCGCGUGCAGGUGGUAUCGUAAGUCGGAUGUGAAAGCCUCUGGCUCAACUGGAGGAUGUCGUUCGAUACUGCGGAACUUGAGGUCGGGAGAGGGAAGCGGAAUUCCCGGUGUAGUGGUGGAAUGCGUAGAUAUCGGGAGGAACACCAGUGGCGAAGGCGGCUUCCUGGCCCGCACCUGACACUAAGACGCGAAAGCGUGGGGAGCGAAC